CCUACGGGUGGCAGCAGUGAGGAAUAUUGGUCAAUGGACGCAAGUCUGAACCAGCGAGGCCGCGUGCAGGAAGACGGCUCUAUGAGUUGUAAACUGCUUUUGUACGAGGGUAAACUCAGCUACGUGUAUCUUUCUGCCCGUAUCCUACGAAUAAGGAUCGGCUAACUCCGUGCCAGCAGCCGCGGUAAUACGGAGGAUCCAAGCGUUAUCCGGAUUUAUUGGGUUUAAAGGGUGCGUAGGUGGUCGGUUAAGUUAGAGGUGAAAUCCCGGGGCUCAACUUCGGAAUUGCCUUUGAUACUGUUCGGCUAGAGGGUAGUAGCGGUAGGCGGAAUGUGUGGUGUAGCGGUGAAAUGCUUAGAGAUCAUACAGAACACCGAUUGCGAAGGCAGCUUACCAAGCUACAUCUGACGUUGAGGCACGAAAGCGUGGGGAGCAAACAGGAUUAGAUACCCGAGUAGUC
rnacentral:rRNA from 1 species